rnacentral:rRNA from 1 species
UACGGAGGGUGCAGGCGUUAAUCGGAAUUACUGGGCGUAAAGCGUGCGCAGGCGGUUUUCUAAGUCAGAUGUGAAAUCCCCGGGCUUAACCUGGGAACUGCGUUUGAAACUGGGAGGCUAGAGGGCGGCAGAGGGGGGUGGAAUUCCACGUGUAGCAGUGAAAUGCGUAGAUAUGUGGAGGAACGCCGAUGGCGAAGGCAGCCCCCUGGGCCUGCACUGACGCUCAUGCACGAAAGCGUGGGGAGCAAACAGG